rnacentral:sRNA from 1 species
CCUUGUCUUUUGUAGCUUUGUGUACACUUAGUCUCGGGCUGGAAUAGCGUCACCCGAGAGCCGCUGCAGCUCUGAUGAGGCCCUCCUUUAUACUAAAGAAUGAUCCUUUGACUCCAACUCGCCUUCCUUCUAAGAACCACGACUUCUAAAAUAUGGAGGUGAGACAAGAGUACGCACCCAACAGGGUAACCUAAUGUUGGAAUAUUGAGGCUUCAGCAUGAGUCCUAAAUAGAGCUGUCUGUCUGUCCGCAGCCACAUUCCCAAUCCCUGGAGCUGACUUCUGGAGCCAACAUUUUACCCUCUGCUUCUGUGAGUCUGAC